rnacentral:lncRNA from 1 species
UUUUUUAAUUGAUGUAAAAUGUAAAGUGCAUGGCUCUGUCUGUAUCCUGGCAUUGGCUGUUGUCUCUGUUGUUUUUUUAGCCCACUUUCUACAUUAUGAUAUUCUCUGAGUCCGUCAUACCGGUACCACAGUCCUUGAAUUUUAAUACUGCAAUUGAAGUGGCCACCAUUGCCAUAUGUAAUGGCAAAGAGUUAGUAGCUCCAAAUUAUAAACAUCCACUGUUUCCAACUAUGAUAAUUGACAUUCCAUUGAAAAAAGAGGUAUAAAGAAUGAUACAGAAUGAUACAAAGGAAAAUACUACCGGUAUACAAGUCUGUGUCAUACACAAUCAGGGCUACUUUAAAAGACUGUUUUAAUAUGAUACCAUAUCUAUCCCUGUUAUAAAAUGAACAUAUCAUGUUUAUAAUAGUUGCAGUUUUAAGUAUGUCUUAAUGUAGUAGCAUACAUGUGGGAGAUUUGGAAUGCUUUUAAAUAUUUCUGGAUCAAACACUAUUACAGGAAAAUACAAAAAGUAAUAAGGUAUAAAUAUAAAUCUUAGCUUAAUCUUUAGACUGGACAGAUGUUUAUAAUCUGCUGUUCCACUGUCUCAACUGUUGUUAUUUUCACUAUUCUCAAAUUCACUUUCAGCAGUGCAAUUUUUUUUUUCAAGCAGGUGACAGCAUAAUUUUUUUUUUCAGCUACAGUGCAAAACAUAAUUUUUUUUUCGUUCAGCUAGGCCAUCAAAAUAUUUUUUUCAAAAAAAUCCCAGGCCCCCCCCCCCCC